ACUCCUGUAGAUUGGGGGGUACCUAAUCCCUGGACUUGAUGAAUGUUACCAAAUUAAGGGUCUUGAGAUGGGGAGAUGAUCCUGAAUUAUCCAGGUGGGCCCUGUAUAAUCACAAGGGUCCUUAUAGGAGGGAGGCAGGAGGCUCAGAGUCAGGAGAUGUGACUAUGGAAGCAGAGGCCGGAGGAAUUCAGGACAGCCACUAUGAGCCAAGGAUUGCAGGCACCCUCUAGAGGCUGUAAAGGGCAAGGAAAUGGCUUCUCCCCUGGAGCCUCCAGAAGGAAUGGGUCCUGCCAACUCCCUGUCUUCAGCCCAGGGAAACAGAUUUAGGAUUUCUGGCCUCCAGAACUGUUAGAGGAUACAUUUGUGUUUUGUUUUGCUUUGUUUGCUUUGCUUUGCUUUGCUUUUUUGAGACGGGGUCUCGCUCUGUCACCCAGGCUGGAGUGCACUGGCACAAUCACGGCUCACUGCAGCCUCAACUUCCCAGACUCAAGGGAUCCUCCCACCUCAGCCUCCUGUAGCUGAGACUACAGCCGGCCUUAAGCAGGUGGCUUAUCAA
rnacentral:sRNA from 1 species